rnacentral:misc_RNA from 1 species
AAUCUAUACCAUAUCUUCUGGAAAUUCUGGGUAUUGUGAUUUUUACUUUUAGGGUAGUGAUUUGACAAUUAUCAUUCUAGAAAUAUUCCUUCACUACAUCUAAUUUUUCUGUUCAAAUAAGUUAGCUGAUAUUCCAAAUUUGGGUUUCAUGAGUAUUUUUAUAAUUUCUAGUUUUGCUAGAGCAGGUUGGUUAUACGAUUUCAGUUUUUCAGUAAUGAUUUUCACUUUGUGUCUUAUUCUGAGUUCUUAUAGGUUUAGGAAAGCAUAAAAAGCUUGUUUAUUACUAAAAAAGAAUUUUCUGUUUUCCAUUUCCAGUUUUCAUUUUCACUGGAAAAUUUGUUCAUUUUUAUCUCUAUUUUAUGCUUGUUAUUACUUAAGAAAUUUUAAUUGAAUUAGGAAAUUUUAUUGUGUUAGUCAGUCAUUCAUGUUAUAGUAGUAAUAGUCAUAGUGAGGUGAUGAUGUCAUUGAUAGUCAUAGUGAGGUGAUAGUUGUAAAUGGUGGUGAUGGGGUGGUCAAGGUGGCAGUGACAGUAGCUGCAAUGGCGUUAGAGACAGUGGAUGGUGAUGACAAUAAUAUUUGCAAUAGUUAUGAUUUAAGUGGCAUUAGGGCGAUAACAAGGCCAGUAAUGCUGGCAGUGAUGGAGGCGAUGCUAAUGAUAAUUGUAUGGUGUUGGUAGCAGUAGUUAUGGAACUCGAGAGUGAUAAUUGUUGCAGUGGUUGUGGGGAUUUUAGUGCUGGAGGUUUAGAUGGUAGCAACACUAGUGGCAAUCGUUAGUGAUGGUGUUGAUGGUUGUACCAAUGAUGAAGAUGUGAUUGUGAAGCCAUUGGUGACAACAAGAAGGUGACGUAGGUGUUAGCGAUGGUGUUGUCAAUGGUAGUUGUUCUUAGCAGAUUGUGAUGAUGAUUAUUGUAUGGUUAAAAAUAUAUGUACAAUGUUUUCAAAAACAAGUAGAAAACCUGUGGAGUUUAUAAAAGAAAAUAGUUGAGAACAAGUUAUAGCUGUUUUCAACCCCAGUAUAAAUUUGUAAAACUGUUCCAAUUGAAUAGAGUAGUUUUCUGUUUCCAUGGAAGAAUUUACUAGAGACUGCUCCAGUUUUCACAAAUGAACAGGCUUAUUCUUUUCAGUUUCUUUGGAAGUGUAAGUCCUUGGAGGAUUAUUGGAAUUCCAAAUUUUGAAGGAUUGGCGUUACAUAGAGUCCAUAAAUACUCAUGCUUGUUAUUCAUUUUUCAGAAGAUAAAAAUUUCAACUGUCAUGCUACUUUAAAUUGUAUGAUGCAAUUUAACUCUAAAGUGCAAUGCUUAAGAGAACGUUGGGUGUAAUGCCAAAGGACUUCAAAGUGUGAUGCUAAGUAUCUCUUAUAAUUUUUCUCUUAUUUGUCACUUCAACCGGAUUUGAAUACUUGCAAACAGUUGCUUAUUUCAGCCAACCAAAGUUAGUUUCAGUUAUUUAUUUUGAGUUUGUAUGUGCAUCCUAGCUUUCGAACUGACUCAAACCAGACCUAGAAGACAAAACCUGCAAGGUGUUUGUGCCAAUAGUUCUAGAACAUAACCUAUCUUCAUUUAUUUUUCCUCCUUAAAAUGCAUUCUCAAAUCUUCUUUGCUGUUCAAGCCUGAGUUAUGGAACAAUAAAAUGUUCUGAAUCACAAGUUUGUUACUAUGGUGCAGUGCCGGAGCUUUUAUUUUCUCAU